UUUAAUAUUUCACCCCAGUUCCCUCUGGGCCCUUCAUAUCUAAAAGGAGUUUAGGGUUUCCUCUCUUAACUCGCAUUGUUUACCAUCAGAGACACAAUUACCUCUCGGCCAAGAAGAAAACCCAUCUCAUUUUUGAAUAAAGGAGGAGAUUUAAAAGAGGUAGCAGAGGUCUAUGUCCCAGAAGUUGAAGUUUGAGUAACAUUAAGGGUUUGGUUGAUUCUCGCAGAUAUAGUUGCAUCGAGGUGAGCUGAAGUCACUCCUUUCUAACUUAGGGUUUCGUUAUUACACCGUUUUUGCAUUUUGUCAAACUUUUUGGCUCUCUAAACAUCUAUGGCUUUGUUGCCCUUGAAGUUUUUGGCUCUGUUCAUUUCUGCUUAUAGAACAGGGGGCCGGCCGCGACCAGUGCCACUUUUCUUCAAUUUGAGAAAAUUUCCCUGGUUGAGGUUAAGUUAAAACUAGUCCUUGUUCUCAUGGUUAUCGUUUAUGUUCUGCUUUUAAUGAUGAAUUUUAUUUAGCCACUGAAUUGUGUAUGUAUUGUUACUACAUCUAAUUAGUUGUUUUCUUACAUUUUUAUUUCUAUCAAUUCUUUGUUCUGCUUUUCUUUUGUUUAUUUCAA